rnacentral:rRNA from 1 species
CUUUACUGUAGCUUUACAUUGGACUUUGAACAGAUCUGUGUAGGAUAGGUGGGAGGCUUUGAAGCAGUGCCGCUAGGUGCUGUGGAGCCAACGUUGAAAUACCACCCUGGUGUGUUUGAGGUUCUAACCUUGGCCCGUUAUCCGGGUUGGGGACAGUGUAUGGUGGGCAGUUUGACUGGGGCGGUCUCCUCCCAAAGUGUAACGGAGGAGUUCGAAGGUACGCUAGGCACGGUCGGAAAUCGUGCUGAUAGUGCAUAGGCAUAAGCGUGCUUGACUGCGAGACUGACAAGUCGAGCAGGUACGAAAGUAGGACUAGGUGAUCCGGUGGUUCUGUAUGGAAGGGCCAUCGCUCAACGGAUAAAAGGUA